rnacentral:rRNA from 1 species
UACAGAGGUGGCAAGCGUUGUUCGGAAUUACUGGGCGUAAAGGGCGCGUAGGCGGUUCGUUAAGUCCUGUGUGAAAUCCCCCGGCUCAACUGGGGAACUGCACAGGAAACUAGCGGGCUUGAGUUCGGGAGAGGGAAGCGGAAUCCGGGUGUAGCGGUGAAAUGCGUAGAUAUCCGGAGGAACACCGGUGGCGAAGGCGGCUCCUG